UGCCAGCAGCCGCGGUAACACGAACCGUCCAAACGUUAUUCGGAAUAACUGGGCUUAAAGGGUUCGUAGGCGGCUAUGAAGGUGGGGUGUGAAAUCCCUCGGCUCAACCGAGGAACUGCGCUCCAAACCACAUGGCUUGAGGGAGACAGAGGUAAGCGGAACUGAUGGUGGAGCGGUGAAAUGCGUUGAUAUCAUCAGGAACACCAGUGGCGAAGGCGGCUUACUGGGUCUCUUCUGACGCUGAGGAACGAAAGCUAGGGGAGCGAACGGGAUUAGAUA
rnacentral:rRNA from 1 species